UUGCACUUGGCUUAUCCAAUAAACCAAUUGGACUUCAUCCAAUCAAGCCCAAAUCAAAUCUAAUUAAAUUAUAUUUAAUUAGACUUAAUCUUAGCCCAUUGGCUUAAUCAAAUUAAGCCAAUUAGCAAUCGAAUUGCUAAUCGAUCCUCCUACAACACUUGCACUGGGUUAAAUGUCAAUCGUAUUGAUCAUUUAACCCUAGAAUGAUUCUUAAUCGUUGAUCAACCAUCCGAUCGAAUCAUGAACUCUAAUGUGUGUGAUCUCAUAGGUCCGAACCUAAGCC
rnacentral:lncRNA from 1 species